CCUACGGGGUGCAGCAGUGAGGAAUAUUGGUCAAUGGACGAGAGUCUGAACCAGCCAAGUAGCGUGAAGGAUGACUGCCCUAUGGGUUGUAAACUUCUUUUAUAUGGGAAUAAAAUGUUCCACGUGUGGGUUUUUGUAUGUACCAUAUGAAUAAGGAUCGGCUAACUCCGUGCCAGCAGCCGCGGUAAUACGGAGGAUCCGAGCGUUAUCCGGAUUUAUUGGGUUUAAAGGGAGCGUAGGUGGAUUGUUAAGUCAGUUGUGAAAGUUUGCGGCUCAACCGUAAAAUUGCAGUUGAAACUGGCAGUCUUGAGUACAGUAGAGGUGGGCGGAAUUCGUGGUGUAGCGGUGAAAUGCUUAGAUAUCACGAAGAACUCCGAUUGCGAAGGCAGCUCACUGGACUGCAACUGACACUGAGGCUCGAAAGUGUGGGUAUCAAACAGGAUUAGAUACCCGAGUAGUC
rnacentral:rRNA from 1 species